AGAGUUUGAUCCUGGCUCAGAUUGAACGCUGGCGGCAUGCUUUACACAUGCAAGUCGAACGGCAGCACGGGCUUCGGCCUGGUGGCGAGUGGCGAACGGGUGAGUAAUGCGUCGGAACGCGCCGAGUAGUGGGGGAUAACGCAGCGAAAGCUGUGCUAAUACCGCAUACGUACUGAGGUAGAAAGUGGGGGACCUUCGGGCCUCACGCUAUUCGAGCGGCCGACGUCUGAUUAGCUAGUUGGUGGGGUAAAGGCUCACCAAGGCGACGACCAGUAGCGGGUCUGAGAGGAUGAUCCGCCACACUGGGACUGAGACACGGCCCAGACUCCUACGGGAGGCAGCAGUGGGGAAUUUUGGACAAUGGGCGCAAGCCUGAUCCAGCCAUGCCGCGUGUCUGAAGAAGGCCUUCGGGUUGUAAAGGACUUUUGUCCGGGAGCAAAGCCUACUUGUUA
rnacentral:rRNA from 1 species